rnacentral:rRNA from 1 species
AGUGAACGCUGGCGGUAGGCCUAACACAUGCAAGUCGAACGGCAGCACAGUAAGAGCUUGCUCUUACGGGUGGCGAGUGGCGGACGGGUGAGGAAUACAUCGGAAUCUACUUUUUCGUGGGGUAUAACGUAGGGAAACUUACGCUAAUACCGCAUACGACCUACGGGUGAAAGCAGGGGAUCUUCGGACCUUGCGCGAUUGAAUGAGCCGAUGUCGGAUUAGCUAGUUGGCGGGGUAAAGGCCCACCAAGGCGACGAUCCGUAGCUGGUCUGAGAGGAUGAUCAGCCACACUGGAACUGAGACACGGUCCAGACUCCUACGGGAGGCAGCAGUGGGGAAUAUUGGACAAUGGGCGCAAGCCUGAUCCAGCCAUACCGCGUGGGUGAAGAAGGCCUUCUGGUUGUAAAGCCCUUUUGUUGGGAAAGAAAAGCAGCAGGUUAAUACCCCGCUGUUCUGACGGUACCCAAAGAAUAAGCACCGGCUAACUUCGUG